GCGAGCGUAGCCAAGUGGUUAAGGCAGUGGUUUGUGGUACCACCAUCCGUGGGUUCGAGUCCCAUCGUUCGCCCUA
rnacentral:tRNA from 3 species